rnacentral:lncRNA from 1 species
UGCAGUGUUUGCCCAUUUUUCCUGACUCUGUCACAUGGGGCCACUUAGAACAGGUCAAUUCCCCUUCCACACAACAGCCCUUUAAGGACUGAAGAGUUGAGCUGAGAGGAUGGUUCAAUCUAGUAAACACUCACCCAGCGAGCGAGCGAGCAAGCACUUAUGUUCAGUGGGAAGAGGGUAAUGUACCAGGAACUAGACCAGGGGCAAUGGGGGCACAGAGAGCAAACAGACAAGCUAGAGGUGGCGGCUGCUUUCAAGAAACAUGAUUAACACACGUGAAGCAACCAAAGAACGCAAAGCAUCACAGAACUAAAUCAGUCCCUUAGGGGGUUGUUUCCCCUUGUUAGCACUGGUAAGAUCCGUGACGCCAUUGUGGAGGGGAGCAAUCACUACCAAGAAGGCACUCAUCUUCCUCACCACUGCUACCUGCACCAAUGGUUGACCAACACACGAUGGGCAGGUAAACUCAAGAGCACCAAGAGAGGCUACACACUCCAAGACCACACUAUUCAUGCCUCCUGCUCUGGAUGCCAUUUCUCAUGAAGCAACUGCCAAGGAGAUGCAGCCUAGGAAAUGCUUCUUUGAGUCCUGCAGAAACAUCUACUGAAGACCCAGGAAAAAAGGUUCCCGACACCAAAAUCCUUGGUUCUAUUCAAUGAUUCUCAGCUUCAGAAGUGGAUAUGAUUUCAUCAUGGGGGAAUGAUAUAGAUAUUUCCUUUCUGUCCUAGAAUCAAUAUUGUGUAUUGGUUCCAAAGCACAAGAGCAAUAAGAUGUAGGCAAUGGGGGUUAAGUGACUUGCCCAAGGUCACACAUCUAGGAAGUAUCUGAGGUCAAACUUGAACCCAGGAUUUCCCAUCUUUGCCCUGGCUGUUAAUCUACUGAGCCACCUAGCUACCCCGUAUUGGGGAUAUUUUUAAUGAUUCAUCAUCAUCUGCUUUGUGUCUGCCUCCUAAGGAGCAUGGGGCUUUUCCAUCUGACCCAAGCUGAAACCUUCCAUAUUUGUUGUCUCCUCCAUUAAAAUAUGAGUUCCUUGAGAGCAGAGGCUGUCUUUUUCUUUCUGUUUGUAUCUCUAACAUUUUGCCCAGUGCUUUGUAUCUAGUAAGUGCUCAAUAAAUGCUCAUUCAUUCAUUCCUUCUCUCCUUUA